AUUUCUAUAGUAUAAAAUGUACAAUUGACUUCCAAUCAAUAAGUUUGAUUUAUCAAUAGAAAUA
rnacentral:tRNA from 1 species